GACGAACGCUGGCGGCGUGCUUAACACAUGCAAGUCGAACGGAAAGGCCCUGCUUUUGUGGGGUGCUCGAGUGGCGAACGGGUGAGUAGCACGUGAGUAACCUGCCCUUGACUUUGGGAUAACUUCAGGAAACUGGGGCUAAUACCGGAUAGCAGCUCCUGCUGCAUGGUGGGGGUUGGAAAGUUUCGGCGGUUGGGGAUGGACUCGCGGCUUAUCAGCUUGUUGGUGGGGUAGUGGCUUACCAAGGCUUUGACGGGUAGCCGGCCUGAGAGGGUGACCGGCCACAUUGGGACUGAGAUACGGCCCAGACGCCUACGGGAGGCAGCAGUGGGGAAUAUUGCACAAUGGGCGGAAGCCUGAUGCAGCAACGCCGCGUGCGGGAUGACGGCCUUCGGGUUGUAAACCGCUUUCGCCUGUGACGAAGCGUGAGUGACGGUAAUGGGUAAAGAAGCACCGGCUAACUACGU
rnacentral:rRNA from 1 species